AUUUGCUUUGUAGGCGAUGAAGCGGCCAAUAGUAAUGAUUCAUCUUGGAGUAUGUAUUGUUCUACUGUUCUGAGAGUUAAAACGAUACACAUCAGCUCACCAAUUCUAGCUGCCAAGAGUCCAUUUUUCUACAAGCUUUUCUCAAAUGGCAUGCAAGAAACAGAGCAGCGACAUGUUAUUCUAUAAAUUAGUGCCUCAGGUAACACAUCUCGCUGUCGACCAUCGACCCAAGUCACUAGUCAUGCCCAAAAAUAUUUCCUAAGACAGAUUAGCCUCAACAAGAAGAAGCGUCGAUCCAGCCUCUUCGACAUGGUUGGUAACAACAACACUUCAGUUCCAAUUAUUGAUUCCAAGCCCAAAGAUCCUCUCUCAACUGAAUUUCCUGUUCCAACUGUCUUCUUAUAGAACAUGCUGCGAAGUUCAUGAAAAUAUCCCUCAGGUCGAUCUUAAUUCAUUCGAACAAGAAACCAAAUUGGGAAACCAACAAACCAAGCAUCUUCAAUUGCCAGCCAAUCUUUAUCAAAUGCCCGUUUGGCCAUCCUACGGAUCACCUGGUUCAUAUCCUGAUUUUGUUUUCCAACCAUCUUCUG